ACAAGGUGACUUAAUUAUGACAAGUGAAUGGUUUCACUACAUACAUUUUACUGCAUUUCAUUGUUUAAUGAUAAGGAUUUAUUCUUGCUUUCAAAAUUUCAGAUCCGAAUAGUUGUCCAACAAAAAACUGUUCAGGGCAGCAAAAUAUUCUCAAGGAAUGCCGACAGCCUACCUUUAUGAUUGGAGGUGACGGGAUAACAAAAUGUCGAAUGUGUGACGUGAAUGCUUGUGGAGACCCGAAGAGAGUAUGUCCGAAGAUCAAAUGUCCUUCUAAACCGCGUAUACCGACACAUUGCGUUGUGAAGCAAUUUACAAUCGGUAGCGACGGCAUAACAUUAUGUCCUGCAUGUGACAAGAAAAACUGCCGACAACGUCAGAAAAAAAAUCAAAAUUAUUAAUAGUGUACCCAACUGUUCGAUGACAUGAAUAAAGACAGUCAUAUUAAUAUUUAGUUUUGUAUACAGAAGUAAACUAUGUUAUAGAUGUACAGUAUGCCAUUCUUAGAUAACUUAAAUUUAAGAAUAAAUGCGUUUGAUUUAA